rnacentral:rRNA from 1 species
GACGAACGCUGGCGGCGUGCUUAACACAUGCAAGUCGAACGGAAAGGCCCCUUUGGGGGUACUCGAGUGGCGAACGGGCGAGUAACACGUGAGUAACCUGCCCUUGACUUCGGGAUAACUUCAGGAAACUGGGGCUAAUACCGGAUAGGAAUCCUUGCUGCAUGGUGGGGGUUGGAAGCUUCGGCGGUUUUGGAUGGACUCGCGGCUUAUCAGCUUGUUGGUGGGGUAGUGGCUUACCAAGGCUUUGACGGGUAGCCGGCCUGAGAGGGCGACCGGCCACAUUGGGACUGAGAUACGGCCCAGACUCCUACGGGAGGCAGCAGUGGGGAAUAUUGCACAAUGGGCGGAAGCCUGAUGCAGCAACGCCGCGUGCGGGAUGACGGCCUUCGGGUUGUAAACCGCUUUCAGCAGGGGCGAAGCUUGUGGUGACGGUACCUGCAGAAGAAGCACCGGCUAACUACGUG